GAAGUAUUCAUGCCACCGCCUGUAAAACUAGAUGGCCGCCAAGGGUAUUUUGGACAUUUCGCGUACACCUAUAAAACCGAAGCAGCAGCGACUGAAAACCUAGCCGCUUCCUCCCCUUGCGCGGUCGCGCCGCCUCCCCUCGUCCAGCCAUCUCCCCGACCUCGCCGCCCCACACAGACCUCCGCUCGCCCAGCCCUCUCCCCGACCUCACCGCCCCACCCACAUCGCCGCCACCGACGCCCCUCAGACCUCGCCACCGCGGACCUCUCUCCUUGUCUUCCUCGCACCACGGCGCCCGCAACCUCCUCCCUCCCGUCAACAGAAGGGGAGGAAAGAGAAGAGGGAGAGCGAGCGCGUCAGACGGCGGCCAUGGCGGCGCUGUCGUCCGACCUCGGCCUCCGACUGCUGACCUCUCUCCUCGUUUUCCUUGCACCACGGCGCCCGCAACUUCCUCUCCCUCCCGUAAACUUCUCCAGGAUCUACAACAUCGACGGCUACGGCAGCGCCACGGUGCACCGCCAGCGCCACGCGCGCAAUGGCUGGGGGCUCCGCCGGCCACGGCAGUCCGCACGCCCCGGCCUGGAUCCCCAUGCGCUGUCUUCCCCGACGGCGUGAGGGCGGCCACCUGAGGAACCUGGCUGGCGGACGAGGUUGGGCAGCUCCAAGGUUCUUCGUCCUGCCGCUGAUGCCCACCGGCCACUUCCGCCGGGCUUCGUCGUGGGAGGGGGUGCACCAGCGAGGAGCAGCAGGGGAGGAGAUGAGGAUACACCGCCGGACUCCCUCUUCACUUUAUGGUUGCAUCUUCCCCGUCCGUGUACAUUUAUUCCAGUGCUCAAUCAUUGUCUGUCUCAACCAAACCUAACAUGGCGGUGCGAAUUUCUGCUAGGAGUAAUCGAAUGUUAAUUGGCUGGUAGUGGCAUGUUCAAGUAUGGAAAAUGAUGAGCUCCUACUUCUUUUUAUGCCAACUCUAUUUAGUAGAGCACGGGCUGCCUGGGGACGGCGCCGGUCCUGUACCACCGAGGGGGUUUCUUUUGUAGUUCUGGAUACACAAUUUUUCAUGAAGAGAUGGCUACCCCAAGGCAAUCUGAAUUAGGAACACUUCGUUAUGCACAACUGUUAAAGGUCCCGAAGAAUCCUCCAAGUUAGUUGAAGUGAAUAGGCUGAUUGAGAUGCAAAUACCAGAGAGACUUACACCUUGGACCUGCUUGGCAGCAAAAAGAUGAACCAAACCCAAUGUGAUUCACCAUGUAGGCUUUUUUGGUGGAGCAGAAUGACGAAGCUUCUCACAAUCAGAGGUAGUGUAGUAUAGCUUAGGACUACAGAGCUGCCUUGUGGAUAUGUUGGCUGUAGAACCAAGUGUACAAACAUGUUUCCUUGUGAUUGUUUUGUUUUGGUUA